rnacentral:lncRNA from 1 species
AGGAUUAGCACCCUGAUAAAAGAGACCACACAGCUCUCUCCCAGGCUCUUUCCAACACCUGAAGACGGCUCUAAUGAACCAGAAAGUGGACUCUCACCAGACAUCAAAUCACCAGUCACCUUGAUCUUGGACUUCCUAAUCUCCAGAACUAUGUCCCCAAAGACCUCAGUCUAUCUUCUUGAAGAACUGUAGCUUUUUAAGGAGAAACAAUCACCUAUCCUGAAAUGCUUUCUGAUACCUCAGGAGCAAUCCGGCAACGCAGAAAGAAUUAUUCAAAGAUCAGCACUGUUGAG